GGUUAAGUGGACUAAGCGUACACGGUGGAUGCCUUGGCAGUCAGAGGCGAUGAAAGACGUAGUAACUUGCGAUAAGCCCAGAUUAGGUAGUAACAACCAUUUGAGUCUGGGAUUUCUGAAUGGGGAAACCCACGUGCAUAAGCACGUAUCCUUACCUGAAUACAUAGGGUAAGGAGGCGAACCGGGGGAACUGAAACAUCUAAGUACCCCGAGGAAAAGAAAUCAACCGAGAUUCCGAAAGUAGCGGCGAGCGAAAUUGGACUAGCCCUUAAGCUUUACACGCGUUAGACGAACGGUCUGGAAAGUCCCGACGAUACAGGGUGAUAGUCCCGUAGUUGACGACGUGUGUUCAGUGAAAUCGAGUAGGGCGGGACACGUGAUAUCCUGUCUGAAUAUGGGGGGACCAUCCUCCAAGGCUAAAUACUACUGACUGACCGAUAGUGAACCAGUACCGUGAGGGAAAGGCCGAAAAGAACCCCUGUGAGGGGAGUGAAAUAGAACCUGAAACCGUGUACGUACAAGCAAGUAGGAGCAGGCUUUGUCCUGUGACUGCGUACCUUUUGUAUAAUGGGUCAGCGACUUAUAUUCAGUGGCAAGGUUAACCAUCUAGGGGAGCCGUAGGAAACCGAGUCUUAACUGGGCGUUCAGUCUCUGGAUAUAGACCCGAAACCCAGGUGAUCUAGCCAUGGGCCAGGUUGAAGGUUUGAGUAACAUCAACUGGAGGACCGAACCGACUAAUGUUGAAAAAUUAGCGGAUGAACUUGUGGCUAGGGGUGAAAGGCCAAUCAAACCUGGAGAUAGCUGGUCUCCCCGAAAGCUAUUUAGGUAGCGCCUCGGACGAAUACUACUGGGGGUAGAGCACUGGUUAAGGCUAGGGGGUCAUCCCGACUUACCAACCCUUUGCAAACUCCGAAUACCAGUAAGUACUAUCCGGGAGACACACGGCGGGUGCUAACGUCCGUCGUGGAGAGGGAAACAACCCAGACCGCCAGCUAAGGGUCCCAAAUUACUACUAGUGGGGAAACGAUGUGGGAAGGCUCAGACAGCCAGGAUGUUGGCUUAGAAGCAGCCAUCAUUUAAAGAAAGCGUAAUAGCUCACUGGUCGAGUCGGCCUGCGCGGAAGAUGUAACGGGGCUAAGUAGUAAACCGAAGCUGCGGCAAUACCCUUUGAGUAUUGGGUAGGGGAGCCGUUCGGUAGCGGUGAAAGGUGGGUGUGGUAACGCAAUGCUGGACGUAUCAGAAGUGCGAAUGCUGACAUGAGUAACGAUAAAGGGGGUGAAAAACCUCCUCGCCGGAGACCAAGGGGUUCCUGUCCAACGUUAAUCGGGGCAGGGUAAGUCGACCCCUAAGGCGAGGCCGAAAGGCGUAGUCGAUGGGAAACGGGGUUAAUAUUCCCGUACUUCUUACAAUUGCGAUGGGGGGACGGAGAAGGCUAGGUGGGCCUGGCGACGGUUGUCCAGGUUCAAGUGCGUAGGCUUAAGAGUUAGGUAAAUCCGGCUCUUUUUAAGGCUGAGACACGACGUCGAGCACCUACGGGUGUGAAGUCAUUGAUGCCAUGCUUCCAGGAAAAGCCUCUAAGCUUCAGAUUGUAAGGAAUCGUACCCCAAACCGACACAGGUGGUCGGGUAGAGAAUACCAAGGCGCUUGAGAGAACUCGGGUGAAGGAACUAGGCAAAAUGGUACCGUAACUUCGGGAGAAGGUACGCUCUCUGACGGGUGAAGUCCCUUGCGGAUGGAGCUAAUGAGAGUCGCAGAUACCAGGUGGUGGCUGCAACUGUUUAUUAAAAACACAGCACUGUGCAAAAUCGUAAGAUGACGUAUACGGUGUGACGCCUGCCCGGUGCCGGAAGGUUAAUUGAUGGGGUUAGACUUCGGUCGAAGCUCUUGAUCGAAGCCCCGGUAAACGGCGGCCGUAACUAUAACGGUCCUAAGGUAGCGAAAUUCCUUGUCGGGUAAGUUCCGACCUGCACGAAUGGCGUAAUGAUGGCCACGCUGUCUCCACCCGAGACUCAGUGAAAUUGAAAUCGCUGUGAAGAUGCAGUGUACCCGCGGCUAGACGGAAAGACCCCGUGAACCUUUACUACAGCUUGGCACUGAACAUUGACCCUACAUGUGUAGGAUAGGUGGGAGGCUUUGAAGCACGUACGCCAGUAUGUGUGGAGCCGUCCUUGAAAUACCACCCUUGUAGUGUUGAUGUUCUAACGUCGACCCCUUAUCGGGGUUGCGGACAGUGCCUGGUGGGUAGUUUGACUGGGGCGGUCUCCUCCCAAAGAGUAACGGAGGAGCACGAAGGUGGGCUAAUCACGGUUGGACAUCGUGAGGUUAGUGCAAUGGCAUAAGCCCGCUUGACUGCGAGAAUGACAAUUCGAGCAGGUGCGAAAGCAGGUCAUAGUGAUCCGGUGGUUCUGAAUGGAAGGGCCAUCGCUCAACGGAUAAAAGGUACUCCGGGGAUAACAGGCUGAUACCGCCCAAGAGUUCAUAUCGACGGCGGUGUUUGGCACCUCGAUGUCGGCUCAUCACAUCCUGGGGCUGAAGUCGGUCCCAAGGGUAUGGCUGUUCGCCAUUUAAAGUGGUACGCGAGCUGGGUUUAGAACGUCGUGAGACAGUUCGGUCCCUAUCUGCCGUGGGCGUUGGAAGAUUGAAGGGGGGCUGCUCCUAGUACGAGAGGACCGGAGUGGACGAACCUCUGGUGUUCGGUUGUGUCGCCAGACGCAUUGCCCGGUAGCUAAGUUCGGAAUCGAUAACCGCUGAAAGCAUCUAAGCGGGAAGCGAGCCCUGAGAUGAGUCUUCCCUGAUACUUUAAGUAUCCUAAAGGGUUGUCGGAGACUACGACGUUGAUAGGUCAGGUGUGUAAGUGCUGUGAGGCAUUGAGCUAACUGAUACUAAUUGCCCGUGAGGCUUAACCAUACAACACCCAAGGGGUUUUGAUGGACUCGAAGCAAGAACAGAAUUGAAUGUGUAGAGAACACAGAAACAGCUUUCCGAAUUAAAGAAUUUGCUUGGCGACCAUAGCGUUUUGGACCCACCUGACUCCAUUCCGAACUCAGAAGUGAAACGAAAUAGCGCCGAUGGUAGUGUGGGGCUUCCCCAUGUGAGAGUAGGACAUCGCCAGGCUUUAAUUUGCACUUGCUUAAGAUUUAAGCAAGUCACCAUAAGGUUCUAAUCUUUUUUAGAAUUUUAUGUUGACUUUCAAAGUGGAAAGCGUAUUAUACGCACCUCGCUUGAGUGCUAAGGCACUGAAAGCCAAGCUCUUUAACAAUAUAGACCUAUCAAUCUGUGUGGGCACUCGUUGAUGAUAAUCCAAUUCGAUACUUCGGUAUCAAAUUAGGUUUCAAUGAAACGAAGUGACCAUUGAAUCUUCGGAUUCAGCACAGUCAAUUCAAACAUUACUUUAUGUAGUGUUCAGUAUUCAUUGAGCCGAACAAAAUCUUAAAUUGAAGAGUUUGAUCAUGGCUCAGAUUGAACGCUGGCGGCAGGCCUAACACAUGCAAGUCGAGCGGAAACGAGUUAUCUGAACCUUCGGGGACGAUAACGGCGUCGAGCGGCGGACGGGUGAGUAAUGCCUAGGAAAUUGCCCUGAUGUGGGGGAUAACCAUUGGAAACGAUGGCUAAUACCGCAUGAUGCCUACGGGCCAAAAGAGGGGGACCUUCGGGCCUCUCGCGUCAGGAUAUGCCUAGGUGGGAUUAGCUAGUUGGUGAGGUAAGGGCUCACCAAGGCGACGAUCCCUAGCUGGUCUGAGAGGAUGAUCAGCCACACUGGAACUGAGACACGGUCCAGACUCCUACGGGAGGCAGCAGUGGGGAAUAUUGCACAAUGGGCGCAAGCCUGAUGCAGCCAUGCCGCGUGUGUGAAGAAGGCCUUCGGGUUGUAAAGCACUUUCAGUCGUGAGGAAGGUAGUGUAGUUAAUAGCUGCAUUAUUUGACGUUAGCGACAGAAGAAGCACCGGCUAACUCCGUGCCAGCAGCCGCGGUAAUACGGAGGGUGCGAGCGUUAAUCGGAAUUACUGGGGCGUAAAGCGCAUGCAGGUGGUUUGUUAAGUCAGAUGUGAAAGCCCGGGGCUCAACCUCGGAAUUGCAUUUGAAACUGGCAGACUAGAGUACUGUAAGAGGGGGUAGAAUUUCAGGUGUAGCGGUGAAAUGCGUAGAGAUCUGAAGGAAUACCGGUGGCGAAGGCGGCCCCCUGGACAGAUACUGACACUCAGAUGCGAAAGCGUGGGGAGCAAAACAGGAUUAGAUACCCUGGUAGUCCACGCCGUAAACGAUGUCUACUUGGAGGUUGUGGCCUUGAGCCGUGGCUUUCGGAGCUAACGCGUUAAGUAGACCGCCUGGGGAGUACGGUCGCAAGAUUAAAACUACGAACCUCUGGUGUUCGGGUUGUGUCGCCAGACGCAUUGCCCGGUAGCUAAGUUCGGAAUCGAUAACCGCUGAAAGCAUCUAAGCGGGAAGCGAGCCCUGAGAUGAGUCUUCCCCUGAUACUUUAAGUAUCCUAAAGGGUUGUCGGAGACUACGACGUUGAUAGGUCAGGGUGUGUAAGUGCUGUGAGGCAUUGAGCUAACUGAUACUAAUUGCCCGUGAGGCUUAACCAU
rnacentral:rRNA from 1 species